CUUAUGAAAUGUGAGGUUGCUCCAGGAACGUGAGCAGCAGCCGCGAGUGUUUGGCUUAAGCCCAGUGAGAGAUAAAGCAGGAGAAGGAGGAGGUGAUGUGUGUCUGUGUGUGUUUAUGGUAAAGAGCAGGCAGGUAUUCUAAGUUCUCAGCUUUCUUCCUCAUCCCGCCUUCCUUGUGUGACUGAUUCCCUCAGAGGAACAGGAACUUUCAAUUCUUCAGAGGAGCAGACACACACACUAACACACACACACCUGGGGAGCGAUACAACCAAGACCUAAAACUCGACCACCUUCGUUUCAGGACGUCCCGACUGCAUUCUUUGUUCAUUCUCCCUCCCUCCUGCCAUGGCCACUCUUGCAUCCCUCCUCCUUGCCCCCCGAGGCAUCGACCUCAGCCUGCCCACCUGCGGAGAGAGACAGUGCAACAGCCACGGGGCCUGUGUGUCCCCUCCGGGUGGGGGGGUCAACCUGUUGUGUGACUGUGACCUGGGCUACCAGGGCGAGUCCUGCGAGGACACGGUGAACGGGUCGCUGAGCGUCCCUCUGACCCUGAGUGUGCUGGGCGCCAUCAUCGGCGUCGUGAUCCUGGCUUUCAUCAUCGCCAAGGUCCGGCAACAUCAGAAGAAGAAUCGCAGGAAAAAUGCUGCAAAGAAAUUAGGGCAUGACGUUGUUGUGUAAUGAGAAGAGUCUCCUUAAAUCUGAGGUCAACCACCAGGGCUUGCAGUCCAGUUUGUUCAAGUAUGUUUCUGACAGAAAUGGACUCAGUUACACCCGUCUGGCACAAUGUCUGACUUUUUACCGCAGCUGUGGGACAAAACCAGAACCUCCAACACUGAACUGGUAAACUGAACGUUUACUGAGAGAGAGACUCGACUGAUUUUAUUAUCAUUCGCCAACUUAUUUGACACUAGCAUCCUCCAUACAUCUGUGGAUUUCUUAGAAUCACAGCUAGUCACUGAUCGUCCUGUAAGAUUUUACUGAUUCAUCAAGUAGUGACUUGAUUGUUGUGCUGUUUUGUGUUGUAUUAUUUUGUGCACCACUGACUGAAUUAAUGUUUCUAUUUUACUUUUUGUCAUUUUCUCUAAACACAAGCUUUUUUCUCUGAAGUGAAGACUCGGAUUGACACAAGAACAUAGAAGAUAAUGUGUUUUGAUAUGUGCCUCUUUUCUAUUUUGUGCAACAAUGAGGAGAAUAUAUUAAUUUUGCUCAGAAGGCAAACGAUAACUGAUGAUUUACGUUUCUGCUGCUGCACACAACACCUGGCGACUGAUCCUGAAGGUAGAGACCGAACUGUCCCAGCAGAUCACCAUCACCGAUCCAGACAAAAACAUGUUUAUAACGUGAACUGACCGAGAGAGAAGACUGUGGUUUUUUAUUUCAACCACGGAAAACGUGUUAUCGACCAACAGAAACCACGACGUGUGCCCACACUUUCUCAGAUCCUGUUCUGCUUCAUUUUAAAAUUCCUCACGUGCCAUAAAUGUUUCACAGGUUUUAACACAGGAAUGUUCUUUUCACUCAUUUGUUUGUUAUAAAUGGUUUGUACCCUUUUAUGCCUAUUGAAGCUGUAUAUUUAUCUUUGUACAACAUUUUUAAACCUUCAGAACUAACUUUGAAAAUGUGGAGCAAGCUAUAAGUCUGUUUUAAAACUUAUUUCUUUAUCCAUUAACCGGCUGUUUUUCAACUUUCUUGUUUAUUUUCUAGCAUAUAUAUUUUUAUUAUUUAGGCUGAAGACAACACUGGAUUUUAAGUUAGCUUGAGCUGCUGUGUUUUAUUUUCAACAUUAAACUCAUACCACGUGUAUGGUCUCCAGCUUUCAAAUAAAAAGUGAAAUCGCCCCAACAAGCCAGUGGUUUAUAUAUAACUACUGUAUAGAAGUGUAUAUAAAUAAAUUCAGUUACUGACAUGAAGACAUUGUUUAUUUUUGUCGGGUAAGACAAACAAAAACUAAUUUGGGAAGUCAGUCCUCAGUGUUAAUGUUCACCCAGUUUGUUUCACUGAUCUGUGUAUUACUUGUCUCCUCAGAAUGUCACUAAUUGUUACUUAAUUCUGCCCAAUCCAAUUAAAACAUAAUUAUUCAGUUGUUCCAGUGA